CCUGCCCCAGACUCUGGGAUAAGCCUUGGAAACGAGGUCUAAUACUGGAUAUGAGAUGCCCCUGCAUGGGGAGUGUCUGGAAAGAUUUAUCGGUCUGGGAUGGACUCGCGGCCUAUCAGCUUGUUGGUGGGGUAAUGGCCUACCAAGGCGACGACGGGUAGCCGGCCUGAGAGGGCGACCGGCCACACUGGGACUGAGACACGGCCCAGACUCCUACGGGAGGCAGCAGUGGGGAAUAUUGCACAAUGGGCGCAAGCCUGAUGCAGCGACGCCGCGUGAGGGAUGAAGGCCUUCGGGUUGUAAACCUCUUUCAGCAGGGAAGAAGCGCAAGUGACGGUACCUGCAGAAGAAGCGCCGGCUAACUACGUGCCAGCAGCCGCGGUAAUACGUAGGGCGCAAGCGUUGUCCGGAAUUAUUGGGCGUAAAGAGCUCGUAGGCGGUUUGUCGCGUCUGGUGUGAAAACUCAAGGCUCAACCUUGAGCUUGCAUCGGGUACGGGCAGACUAGAGUGCGGUAGGGGUGACUGGAAUUCCUGGUGUAGCGGUGGAAUGCG
rnacentral:rRNA from 1 species